GAUGAAGAACGUAGCGAAAUGCGAUAAGUAAUGUGAAUUGCAGAAUUCAGUGAAUCAACGAAUCUUUGAACGCACCUUGCGCCCCUUGGUUAUUCCAAAGGGCAUGCCUGUUUGAGUAUCAUGAACACCUCAACUCUUGUGGUUUCCCACAAUGAGCUUGGACUGUGGAGGUUUUGUUGGCCCUGUGGUCAGCUCCUCUCAAAUGGAUCAGCUUACCGGUGUUUGGUGGCAUUACGGGUGUGAUAACUAUCUACGCUCGUGGUCGUCUCCAAAUAACCUCCAGUGAUGGAGGUUCGCUGGAGUUUAUAAAUGUCUCUCCCCAGUGAGGACAGCCUUUGAACGUUCGAUCUCAAAUCAGGUAGGACUACCCGCUGAACUUAAGCAUAUCAAUAAGCGGAGGA
rnacentral:misc_RNA from 1 species